ensembl:lncRNA
GACAUGAUGGAUACAAAUGAAAACUAUUUGCUUUACAGCAAAUCAUGCUCUAAGUGCUACAUAUGUACUUUGCCAGCCUGUCACUGCAUCUGGAGUUGUCAGCCAUGCAAACUGGAGAGCUGCUAAAUGGCCUGGGAGAUGCCCUGCUGGGAGACACUCACGCCUUUAUCCCUGGCACUGCCUGCCUCCCACUGUGUUCCACUGGCUCUUCUUGGGAGUUUGCAGCAAGAAGUUCUUGUCCCACGACUGGAAACCUUGGAACCAUAUACUGUGUCCAGCUGUUGAUCCUCACAAUGUGAACACAGAAGACUAUUGUAUAGCUUCCAAACUAGCAAGGCACUGUAUAAUAUAUUGUAUUAUUACGUAUUAUUAUUAUGUACUAACAUAUGCAGUAAUACAUGAAGAAAUGCAUGUGUCCAUAAAAUAUUAUAAUAUAGAUAAGAUCACAAGAAAACAUUCCUGAUUAAUAUAAUUCUUUGCAUAUAUCCUCAGCAUGAUACAAGCAGUUUGAAAAGAGCUCUGAUGCAAUUUUCUUCAUAUACUAAAGUAUAUGAAGAAAAUGUAAAAAAGUUGUGCAGCACUGCUGUGAAAUAUUUUACAGAUAGUUGAGUAUUGGUAAUUGCUAAGUUAUCCCAUUGAAAUAAUAUCUAUAAACGUAUCCUAGACCUACAUCAAAUUAGAAGUAGACUAUCUGACCUAUAUACAAUCAGAUGCAGAAGAAGAGGCACCUCACUUUAUACUCUAAAUAUCUCCACUAAAAGUUGUAGACAUGAAUUAUUUUCCCAAGCUCCUCUUUUUUUAACCCUAGCAAUGAUGAAGUGGAAAGCACUUUGAUGGGAGGCAUAUUCUUCUGACUUACCCUAUGUUCUGACUUACCACUUCUGAGUAUUGGUAAACUGCUCACUGAUUACUGACUGAAAGAAGUGAUCUGCUGCAUGUUUGCAGGCUUGGAAUUAGUCAAAGUGCACAUAGGACAAGAAUUGGGAAUACUUUCUGAUUUUCUGUGCCUCUGAAUUAAAACAUGUAAAAAUUUUGUUUCUUUUGCCCCCAUUUAAUACCUGUCAGGAUGAGACACAGGUAAGAGGUAUUUCAGCCUGAAAUGCCUAUGCCUAAUACACGAGACAACAAUCUGUUUGCUGCCAGUUAUUUUUGAACAGAGCAUUGAAUUAUUUGAACAUCCCUGAAGAAUUCAAGGCAUCAGACUUCAUCAUACCAUGUAUGCUUCCCUUGGUCUAAUCAGAGCUGAUGACUUUUUCUCUCUCCUCCUAACAGUGACAUUUGUUUUAUCCAAACAGUUAAGAUGUUACAUUUUAAAUGCUUAUUAUUAGGUCCAUGAUUAACGGAAAACUAAUAAAAAACAGCUACAUUAUCCA